GAACCUUGUGCAAGCUACCAGCGAUAGAUUGGGGCUUGUGGGGUCGGAACGUGGCCUGAUCAUCGCUCUAUUUGUGUUGUCUCUGUAUUGUUAAUUUCAUUCGAUUUUUUAUAUAUUUUAUAUAAUUUUUAUAUUCAUAUUUUAUGUAAAAUCAUAACAUAUUACUGAUUCCAAUCAGUUGUUUUGUCCAUUUCUGUG